rnacentral:rRNA from 1 species
UACGUAGGGUGCGAGCGUUAAUCGGAAUUACUGGGCGUAAAGCGUGCGCAGGCGGUUUGUUGUGUCUGAUGUGAAAGCCCCGGGCUUAACCUGGGAAUGGCAUUGGAAACUGGCAAGCUGGAGUGUGGCAGAGGGGGUGGAAUUCCGCGUGUAGCAGUGAAAUGCGUAGAGAUGUGGAGGAACACCGAUGGCGAAGGCAGCCUCCUGGGCCAGCACUGACACUGGAGGAGCGAAAGCCAGGGGAGCAAACGGG